CAACUGCGGUUGCUUUGGAUACGCAGCGUAAACUGGGUGUAGUCGAUAUAAUUUAGUUUAAGUUUAUCUUAACUGAAAAAGCGGAACAUCUGAAUGCAUUUGUGUAUAUUGUUACAAUGUGAAAAGAUAAACAAAUCGCAUUAUUUGCUUUCUCUUUUCUGAAAUAAUUAUACAAGUUCUUGAGUUAAUAGAGAGUUGUAAGAAGAAAACGUAACUUUAACAUUCAAACAGUAGAUUAUCAAACGUUGAAGUGAGAAAUGGCCAUCAUUAACUACGUGCGGGAAUUACGUAUUGAAUUUUUCUUGUUUUUAAUCAUAUUUGUUAUCUCGUUGAAAAGUGUAUCUCAACAGAGUUUAAUAUUAGAACGAGUGUGCAGAUUCCAUUUUGGUUAUUCGGAAAAAAUAUGCAAUAAUCUUACAGAAUAUGAUUCCAUUCAAGCAUCUGUACAGAAAAUUUCUACUCGUUACAAUCUAG